rnacentral:rRNA from 1 species
GACGAACGCUGGCGGCGUGCUUAACACAUGCAAGUCGAACGGAAAGGCCCCUUCGGGGGUACUCGAGUGGCGCACGGGUGCGUAACACGUGAGUAACCUGCCCUUGACUUCGGGAUAACUUCAGGAAACUGGGGCUAAUACCGGAUAGGAAUCCUUGCUGCAUGGUGGGGGUUGGAAAGCUUCGGCGGUUUUGGAUGGACUCGCGGCUUAUCAGCUUGUUGGUGGGGUAGUGGCUUACCAAGGCUUUGACGGGUAGCCGGCCUGAGAGGGCGACCGGCCACAUUGGGACUGAGAUACGGCCCAGACUCCUACGGGAGGCAGCAGUGGGGAAUAUUGCACAAUGGGCGGAAGCCUGAUGCAGCAACGCCGCGGGCGGGAUGACGGCCUUCGGGUUGUAAACCGCUUUCAGCAGGGGCGAAGCUUGUGGUGACGGUACCUGCAGAAGAAGCACCGGCUAACUACGUG